AGUGAACGCUGGCGGUAGGCCUAACGCAUGCAAGUCGAACGGCAGCACAGUAAGAGCUUGCUCUUACGGGUGGCGAGUGGCGGACGGGUGAGGAAUACAUCGGAAUCUACUUUUUCGUGGGGGAUAACGUAGGGAAACUUACGCUAAUACCGCAUACGACCUACGGGUGAAAGCAGGGGAUCUUCGGACCUUGCGCGAUUGAAUGAGCCGAUGUCGGAUUAGCUAGUUGGCGGGGUAAAGGCCCACCAAGGCGACGAUCCGUAGCUGGUCUGAGAGGAUGAUCAGCCACACUGGAACUGAGACACGGUCCAGACUCCUACGGGAGGCAGCAGUGGGGAAUAUUGGACAAUGGGCGCAAGCCUGAUCCAGCCAUACCGCGUGGGUGAAGAAGGCCUUCGGGUUGUAAAGCCCUUUUGUCGGGAAAGAAAAGCAGCAGGUUAAUACCCCGCUGUUCUGACGGUACCCAAGGAAUAAGCACCGGCUAACUUCGUG
rnacentral:rRNA from 1 species